rnacentral:rRNA from 1 species
GACGAAGGGGGCAAGCGUUGUUCGGAAUUACUGGGCGUAAAGGGCGCGUAGGCGGCUCUGUAAGUCAGGCGUGAAAGCCCAGGGCUCAACCCUGGAAUUGCCUUCGAUACUGUUUGGCUAGAGACCGGAAGAGGUUAGUGGAACUGCGAGUGUAGAGGUGAAAUUCGUAGAUAUUCGCAAGAACACCAGUGGCGAAGGCGGCUAACUGGUCCGGUUCUGACGCUGAGGCGCGAAAGCGUGGGGAGCAAACAGG